rnacentral:tmRNA from 1 species
GGGGUUGACUGGAUUUGACAGCAAGCUGAUGUGGUACGUAAGCACGCGGAGCGUUGAUGGCUGACUCCUUAAUCACAGCUCUCACUAAAUUUAAUUGGCGAAAACAACUACGCUCUCGCUGCCUAAUCGAAGUACAGUAGAUUACUGGCUUAAUUCCGUCACCAGGUGAUGGAACGAGACGUCGCUCCGAUGAUGUUGUUCCGAAUCAGAAGAUAAAGCGGCGCAGGAAAAUCGGAAAUAGUCUGCCAGAGCCUCGACUGGCUGAUGAAAUUUUAGAGGAUAAGGCGCCGGUUGGUGGUCCAGGUCUUGCCGUCGCACGAAAAUGAAGUCUGGAAUAAGCGUGUAGAAAGCGUAUGGCUUCCUUGUUUGGACGUGGGUUCGAAUCCCACCAGCUCCAC